rnacentral:rRNA from 1 species
AUAACGACUCUCGGCAAUGGAUAUCUCGGCUCUCGCAUCGAUGAAGAACGUAGCGAAAUGCGAUACUUGGUGUGAAUUGCAGAAUCCCGUGAACCAUCGAGUCUUUGAACGCAAGUUGCGCCCCAAGCCGUUAGGCCGAGGGCACGUCUGCCUGGGUGUCACGC